GGGCGUAAAGAGCGUCGCUAGGCGGCUUGAUCACGGUCGGACUGUGAAAAGUCGGCCCUUAGCGGGCCGCGGGGGGAAGUGCGAAAACGGGCUGGCUUGACCCUUUGAAUGGGAGACUGGAAUUCCUGGGGGAGCGGUGGAAUGCGCAAAGAUCAGGAGGAACACCGAGGGCGAAGGCAGGUCUCCGGGCAGCCACUGACGCUGAGGAGCGAGAGCCGGGGUAGCAAACAGGAUUAGAUACCCU
rnacentral:rRNA from 1 species